rnacentral:lncRNA from 1 species
CAAUCCAAAGUCGGCGAUUUUCACAAGUUCUGGUCCCAUGCAGAGGAGGUUCUCGGGUUUUAAGUCCCGGUGGAAGAAACCUGCAGGGAGAGUGAAGAGAUCCAACCACACACUCCCUCUGCACUGCUCUCUGCAGCUCAAACACUCUCUUGACAACAUCCGUAGGUGACCGUCACCCCUUCGCACCUCUCUCAGGGUUUCGUUCACCUCCUUAUAUAAAAUCCUUCCAAAGCUAGUCUGCACACUUUUAUACACACGGAAGCACUUUCAAAUACACUUGUGGGCUGAGAUAACUGCAAACCAAACUGUCCUGGGGCUGGGGGAUCAUCCCGAUCAAGUCAGCAGAAGUAGCUUGAGACUAAUACCAUGUCAAAAGACAACAAUUUUUAUUGUAUUAAGUUUAUAAUACAGAAAAUAAUUAAGAGACAUAAAAAAGCCGGGCAGUGGUGGCGCACACCUUUAAUCCCAGCACUUGGGAGGCAGAGGCAGGUGGGUUUCUGAGUUCAAGGCCAGCCUGGUCUACAAAGUGAGUUCCCUGACAGUCAGGGCUAUACAGAGAAACCCUGUCUCGAAAAACCAAAACCAAAACCAAAACCAAAACCAAAACCAAAACCAAAGAGACAUAAAAAAGAUUAAUGGGUCUUGUCUACUCAGCCUUGUGACUCUGGUAAGCAUUGUGAAACUCACACUGUGAGGAACAAUGAGGGCUCACUGAAGUCUCAGCUACAGUGGUGCUGCCAAGAUGUGGCCAGGAGGUCUUUAAUGGGGGAGUCUUCAAGGCACAUGCAGAGAUCCAGUUACUGGCAAUAUCCAUGGCUCUGCAAACCUCAAGCCACCUCCUCCCUAAGGUACCACCCACACAGACAUCACUCAGAAUGCUUCUAAACCUCACUGGCACUCAGAUGGGAAAGACAACUUAGGUGAUUCUGCCCACAGUGUUAGUUCUGUUUAUCAUCUCUAAUAUUAUAUCCUGAGCCACCCUUAAAGCUACAUCCUUAAUUGGAUCCUGACUGGAUGUCACUUUCGUCUCUGCAUCAGCUUGUCCAAAACUACCUCACAAAUAAUCUGUCCUCCUCAAACAAUAUCGCCAAGUACUCAGUAGUUCUGUUGGAUCUGGUUUGGUUGGUUGGCUUUUAAAAAGAUUUAUUUUAUGUAUAUGAGUGCUCUGUCUUUAUGCACACCAGAAGAGGGCAUCACAUUACAGAUGGUUGUGAACCACCAUGUGGUUGCUGGGAAUUGAACUCAGGAUAUCUGGAAGAACAGUCAAGUGCUCUUAACUACUGAGCCAUCUCUCCAGCCUGAAUCUGUUCUUUUGAUAGUGAUGGGACAGUCCCACAUUUCCCUCAGAAUGCCUCCUCCUGGCCUUUCUCCCUUUCACUCUGCCCUCCCAGCAGCUCUUAUUGCCUAAGGCUGGACCAUUCCCUUCCACGAGCAUCUCUGGAUUCUCACACCCUCUAGUAAUUUAAACAAUGUUACACACACACACACACACACACACACACACACACACACACACACAGCCUCUGUUUAAUAAAUCUGAUCUCUUUCAUUCUACUUAAAGAGAUGAAUGUACUUUUGUGGUAAAGAACCUGACUAGCAUGCAUGCUGCCCUAGGGUCAAUCAACCACACUGCAAAACAUGACUCCCAACACCCAUCCCAUCUGCUCCACUCAGCUGAAGUUCUUUACUCCCAUUAAGUUCACUGUAUGGAUCCCCAUUGAUAAUGUACCCUGUUCCUUUUCAUCUGUAUCGAUCCCAAUCUUGACCAUUCUCCAAGGCUGAGUUGCAUUUUGUCUAAGGAACCAUCACACACGGUGCCAUUCCUUAUUCUUCCCCUCUGCCAAGAAAUGAUUCAGAAGCUUUGCCAAGAGCGGGCUGGGCUCUGGGGAUUCUGAUCAACCCACAUGGCUAUGGUUCUUGGUCUUUGCCUUCACAGGAAGAGCAGGCCCUUCGUGUGGAGACUUCUAUCAUGUACACAUAUGGUCAGUGUUUUCACUGUGCAGAUGGAAGCACUUUAACAGUUAAGGCCUUUUACAUUUCUGAAUGUCUUGCAUGCAAAAAAGAGCCAGGGAGUCUCAUAGCAUGUGAUUGCUGAUUGAACUGAGGGAACUACAUGGGCGUGUAGGAAGGAAGGACCUUCACACUGAUGAAUCUACAUGGACGAAGAGAGUAGGCCAGAGCUGUGGGGAGGAUGGAAGGGAGGACGUCCUAAAGACAGAAACUGAGAACUGCUUGACAGGUGCACAGGCUCAGAAGCAGGGUGGUGACAGUUGGAUAUGCAUAUCACAGCAGGUGAUGAUGCGGUUCGAUGAGGUUCAUGGCUGGGUAUGCACACCACAACAGGCACUCCUGUAAUACCUCAGAAAGCAAGAGCCAAGGCUACUUUUGUCUGUGCUCUAGCAGAAAGUGACUGUGAUGUGAAAAGGCACUACAUGGCGAUGCAUGAUGGGAAGUAGCAAUGUUUUAAGAGAAGGACACUCCUCUGUGUUCACCAUCCUGGAGACACCUGGGCUUAGCAGCUGGUCAGAUUCUAAACGCAGAGUUGUAUAGCAUAAUGAUGGGACUGCAGACCCAGUGGGUGGCUUAGCUGGACCAAGUGGAUACAUCAGAGCCUAGAACCUCAUGCCUACAUGAGGAUGAAGGCACAGAAAUGAUCACAGACAUUCACGGGAGACACACGUAAGAGGAGGAAGUACUUCCUUCAGAACACAGGGCCGCCUGCUUUGCACAGCCCAAGGAACUGAGAUCAGUCAGGUGUGGUGUGGGUGAGACAAAACAUAGUCACAGUAAAGUUGGCCUCUUUACAGCAUGUGUAUAUUUGUAGCUACGAGUCCAUGCAUGUGUACGCAUGCACUAGGAAAACAUAUUAUAGUUCAGUGCUUCAUCUUUAUUCUGCCACUGUCCUGACAGAGACCUAGUGGCCUCCCAUAGACAGAUUUCUUCAAGAAUCCUAACCAGGUUUGUAGUUAACCAAAUAUAAAUAAUUAUAAGAACCAAACUUGAGGCUGUCAGAGUAAGAAACUCAAGAGUGACUCAGUAUUAGUCAAGAAUGGCCUUUCCUAUAAAAGAAAAAAAUCUGAUAUGGACAAAUCCAGAUGGUUAUUAUGAGCCCAAUAAAAAUAUAUUAUCUACCCACCAGAUGAGUGAUGCCUGUUUUAAAUCUUGGUAUAACUGAGUCACCGUGUUUGGGACCUUCGCUCUUGUGAACACCUGCCAAUUCCCAGAAGGCCUGACUAUAUUAUGUUCCCAUCUUGGAAACAAAUGACGAAUUAUGCAAGUAUUAGAGCUGUCUUUUGUCAAAGUACCGAGG